rnacentral:lncRNA from 1 species
UUCAGCUACUUCUAUAAUAUCAUUUCUUUUCUUUCUUUCUUUUUUUUUUUGUUGAAUUUUUAUACUGAGAUUUCUUUAUUUUUUUAUUGGAUAUUUUCUUUAUUUACAUUUCAAAUGUUAUGCCCUUUUCUAGUUCCUGCUUCUAUAAGGAUGUUCCCCACCCACCCACUCCCACCUCCAGGUCCGUGAAUUCAAUGGCUAUAGUCUUAUUAUGUUUCCUUGAUUCAAAGUGAAACUUUUCCUUAGAAAUAGAUAUUGAGCUUUUGAAACCUCUGCAGGCAAGAGCCUCCCACUGACAAAAUACUCUAAGGAGCUAUAUGUGGACCAUGGACCUCACAUAUUUUAUCCUUAGCACAAGCAUAUUUCAUUUCUGUUUUUGUUCAUUUGUUUCUUUGCUUGUUUUCUCUCUUUUGUUUUGUAAGCAGGGUUUUUAUAUCUAUCCCAGAUGACCUCCAACUUCCUCAAAACCCCCCUGUUACAUUCUGAGUGGUGGGAUUGUAGUACGAAUUGAUGGCCUGCUUCCAUGGUUAUUAUCUUCCUCUUCCUUAGCACCACCACCACCACCACCACCACCACUGUCUCCAUCAUGAGAGGUUGUAGUUUUAAACCAUAAGCCCCCAAACUAAGAUUUUGUUGGUAUAGGUGUAGUUUCCUCGAAUGCUAAGACAUUCUUUGAACCAUUCAGGAUGGUUUGAUUGCUACUAGGUCUGCCUUAGGUUUCAAAGCCCAGAACUGAGGGAAUUGGAAAGGAGGUACUGGAAAGGCCAUUGGAUCCGUCUGCUGUUGAGCCAGAGAGUGACUCGAAGAGAACAGACAUCAAAUACUAAAGCUAAGACCUGGGAAGUUAUUUCUGAAGGGAUGAGGUGAAGGACUUCUAGAGAUUCAGAGUGGAGCUGGACCCUACACAUCUUUCUAUUACUGGUUCACAUAAACUUUCUAUUGUUUUGUUCAUUAUUAAAAAUAUAGCCUUAACGUCUGGAAUAAUGACAUAUGACUAUAAUUCUAGCAUGCAGGAAACUGGGGUAAGAGAAUUGUCAGUUGUAAAUUAAGGUCUACCUGGGUUAUCUAACCAGAGACUAUGCCUAAAAAAUGGGAAUAAUCAUCUAUAGGAAAGCCAUAAUGAAGUCCAUUACUUUAUACUAUUAUAUAUAUAUAUAAAUAAAAAGAAGAUUACAGCUAUUACUUGAUAUUUUUAGCAUUAUCUUCUUUUUUGUUUUGUUUUUUUGUUUUUUCGAGACAGGGUUUCUCUGUGUAGUCCUGGCUGUUCUGGAACUCAUUUUGUCUACACCAGGCUGGCCUCAGAAAUCUGCCUGCCUCUGCCUCCCGAGUGCUAGGAUUAAAGGCGUGCGCUACCACCACCCGGCUUAUCUUCUCUUUUUAACUGAUAAGAAAAUAAGAAAAUCUGGAGGUUAUAGCAUGCUUAUGAGCAUAUUAUUUAAAUUUGUAGAUAAAAAUAAAGAGGCAUUUAAUAAAAGCAAGGCCAUGGUCAGGUUGUCAAGGAAGAUAGCAUAGAAAUACUAUUUUCAUGUUUGAAAUGACUGCUGUAUUAUUUUUCAUUUAUACAUGUAUUAGAUCAGUUGAAAACAUAUUUGAUAGAUUCAGUCAGUACUUUAAAUGUGCAACAGUGAAACCUGCGUUGCAAUGAAAUGGUUUUGCAGAAUUGAAUAGAUGCCCAUUUCAUUUUUUUACAGUGAUUAGAGGACAUAUUGCACACUGUAUCGUCAGCAUUCUCUGCUGUCUAUCAACAAGAUGCCAAAUGAUUUAAUCCUGAGAAUUACUUAGCAGUGUAGUAGGACAGAUGCACAAUAGUUUUAGUUCACAUGGACAAUACAACUAAUUGAAUUUCUUAGACAUAGUAUAACUUAAUUGUAUGAUAUUGCUGCUGAGAUGUGGUAUGGACAGUGGCCCAGGGUGGUGCACACCUGUGUUCCCAUUUGUUUGGGAAACUAAGGAGGAAGAGUUACUUGAGCUGGUGAGUUCAAUGCCAGCAUUGGCAAAUUUGUCUGAAAAACAAAGAUAGUAAUGUAUUACCAAAGCCAAAACCAAACCAAACUGUUCUCCAAAACAACAAAAUAUAUUGGAUGGAUAAAAUAUUUUUUGAAAUAAAAGAUCUAUGUGCAAAGAACUCUUUGUGUUUCCUAGUUACUAUUGGGUUGUAGAGUAAGGUGCAGAGUAUGCUUACUACAGGUGAUAAUAUUUCAUAGAGGUUGUUGCUUUUGUGUCUAUGAAGUAUUUUUCUCAUCAUAUUGUAGACCACUCUGUUACCACAUACCAUGAAUAUAUGUGUUUUCUCACAUAUCAACGUAUCAUUCCAGUCAAUGAAAGCUAGUAUGACAGAUGUAUUGUAUAACCCUGUCCCAGGACUGAGAACUCUUCAACAGUUCUCUUUCAGUAUUUUUUAAAUCACCUCUAUAACCAUUCCCAAACUACAUUUGUUCUCUCUCUCCCCUUUAAAACUUUGAAGGUGGCAUGGAUUUGGGGAUUUUUAUUUAGGUAAUAUUUGUACUAACUAUAGGGCUUAUUUCUGGAAAGCCUCAUGUUGUCCCAACUAACAUAGUGGGAACCCACUAGGGUCCUGUGUUCUUUCAACAUGGUCCUACUCAUGGAUAAAUACUUCUUAGUUCUGGCUCUGCAAGAAAGACUUUGCUUUCUGAGACAACUGGAUUGAUAUUUUACUUCUAGAUUUCUAUGGGGACUAGUUUAUAAAUGAAGUUUUAUCUCCUCUUGCUAUUUCAAUUGUACAUCACCAUCAUCUUAUUACAUAAGAAGACUCAGGCAACAGCUAUUACCAUUUCCUAUUGUUAAUGGAAUCAUAGCAUGAGCAUUUGAGCCUUUGGCUAGCUCAGCUUGCACAUAUCACUUAACCUCAUGACUCUAACUUACCAGUUACAACUCCACUCAGAAUGUCAUUGUAGCUAAUCAAAUGAUGAUUAUUUGGCCCUUAAAGAAAUACUACAGAUCCAAAGAAUUAGAUUCUUACUGUUCUCCAAGAGGGUCUAUUUCCUCAAUGGUCUUGAAACCCACUAGCAAACAGUUUGAUGUCUUUUCCUCCACAGCUAUAAAAUUUGGCCAGAGAUCUGCAGUCAGGUUCAUUUCAGAUCAGAGAAGUUAUUCUCAUGUUCAAGUCAUUCUUGGUCAUGGAAAUAGGAACUGUCCAGUAAAAGGUGGCAAAAAUCGAUGGUCAUGGUGCCAUCAAACCUGGAGAAAAGAGAUUUUGCCUGAUAAAAUAUUUCUGAUAAAGCUUUGAAAGAAACUGAUCACCCCCUCCCCACUCAUACCCAAAACAGCCAUGUGGAUUUUGAGUUGUAUAAGAUUUAGCUAGGACAUUUUAUUUUUAAAAUCAGAGGAAAUACUUGUAUAAAGUUAAGGGAGGUACAGCAGACAGGGAGGCAAUGCAUCAGUAGUACUGUGUGAAAUCACUCUAAGCACUCUAAGCAAGAGAUUGAGUGUUAAUGCCUGAGAUGAACUUAGUGGCACAUACCUCUAAUCCUACUUAAGAGGUUGAGGCAGGAGAUUUGAUGAUUCAAGCUAGCCUGGGCUACAUAUGGAAUUCUAGGCCAGCCUGGAUUUCAGGAAACACUGUUUCAAGAAAGUAAAAGUAUAUUACUAUAAUCUUAACAUUUAGGAGGUUGGCACAGGAAAAUUGCUGUAAGCUUAAGGCUAUAUAAUAUGUGUUACACCACCUAGAGAUACAUAGUAAGACCCCAGCC